AGCAGUAUGGUGUAAUGUCUGCACACGGGUCCAUUCAAAUAUAAUGUCAUCAUGAGUUUAACCCUGAGGUCCUUGUUCAAACCAAGGUACUGCUG